rnacentral:rRNA from 1 species
UAGGGAAUCUUCGGCAAUGGACGGGAGUCUGACCGAGCAACGCCGCGUGAGUGGAGAAGGUUUUCGGAUCGUAAAGCUCUGUUGUAAGAGAAGAACGAGUGUGAGAGUGGAAAGUUCACACUGUGACGGUAUCUUACCAGAAAGGGACGGCUAACUACGUG